rnacentral:tRNA from 1 species
GGGCCGGUAGCUCAGCUGGUUAGAGCAGCGGACUCAUAAUCCGUCGCGCGGUGGUUCGAGUCCACCCCGGCCCA